rnacentral:rRNA from 1 species
AUACGGAGGGGGUUAGCGUUGUUCGGAAUUACUGGGCGUAAAGCGCACGUAGGCGGACUGGAAAGUUGGGGGUGAAAUCCCGGGGCUCAACCCCGGAACUGCCUCCAAAACUUCCAAUCUAGAGAUCGAGAGAGGUGAGUGGAAUUCCAAGUGUAGAGGUGAAAUUCGUAGAUAUUUGGAGGAACACCAGUGGCGAAGGCGGCUCACUGGCUCGAUACUGACGCUGAGGUGCGAAAGCGUGGGGAGCAAACAGGAUUAGAAACCCUAGUAGUCCC